GGGAGGCGCUCGGUGUGUCUCCCUAAACCCGGAGGGCGUCAGGGAAGGGGUCUGGGUCUCGGGGAGCCAGGCCUUGAUUGGAGGUCCAGGAAUGGAGAGCGGGAACACCAGCCCGUUCUGACCCCUACAGUUUCCACUCACCGCGAAGAGCUGCCUAAUUGGGCGGCGAGCAGCUGCGAAAUUUGUAAUCGCCUAAUAAGCCUUCCACCUCGGUUAUUCUUAUCAAAAGGCAUAAAACUGAUAUUUUCACACUCGGCUUCCUCCACAGGAGCCGUUUAUAAACAUCCUUCAUCAGUAGGAUGAAAUUAAGCCUGCAUUGACAAAGGUCUCUGGAACUCGAUAUUUAAAAGCAAUAGAUCCGAAUUAGCAAAUUAUUACUUUAAGUAGGGAAAGUCCCCACCAACUUGACUAUUGAACCCUUUGCCUCUGAGCUCCUCGCGGUGAGUAACCACAUGUUUGAGGGAACUUAACCUGGAGUUUCCUCAAGCAACCUUCGGCAUCUUGGCUUCCUGAAUCCGCGCGCGCCCUGGCUUCUAGCCUUCCACCGGGUUUCGAGAACCCGCUCGGGCCAGACCUGCGGAGACCUGGGCGAGGCACAGCUGGGGCCUGGGCGGAAGUGCGGUCAAACCAGACGCGUCCGGGACUCCUGGGCCCGAGGGCGCAGAACCAGAGCCAGUAGUCGCACCCCUACGCUUUCCCCCGCCGGCGACCCUCGCUGGCGGCCCCCGGGGUCCCGCGCCUGGGGCUGGCCAGAGCACUGUGAGAGGGUGAGGUAGGGAAGACCUCCGCGCCCAUGAGAAGGCACAGCUUCUGGCUGAUUCUUGUGGAUACCUCUUUACCCUUGAUGGUAAAAAAGUCAGCCUAGAGAGCUCCGAAACUGCGAAGGUCACAGUUGGUCCAGGGAUUGGAGUGUUUCCUUUGAUUUUUCCCACCCCGUCUAACCAUUAUUAAUAUACUAAUUUGGAAAGAGACCGAAGGAGAUAGCUUCCAGAGGCUUUCUUCCAGACUGGCGCAGCUCAGAACCGCAUCAUCCCUCGGAGAUCGAGCAGCGGGCAACGCGCUCACCUUGGGACUUACCGGUCCCAGGCUUCUUCUCAGACCUUGUCACCCAGUUUCUGAGGGGAAGUGAGGAGCGUGUUUAUUCACGCCAGUGGAGGACGCCCAAACGUGGCGAGGGCCUCGGUCUGGGACCCCCUGGUCUCUGCCCCACUGCGGGCCCGGCCGAGGCUCACGGGGCUUCCGAGAGAGGCUAGCGUGCUAUGCGCGGGACAGCCGGGAACGCACUGGAGCGCAGACACCUCCUGGGCUUUGCCGCCCAGCCAGGCGUCCGUUUCGCUAACUGCAGUCGCCUGCCGGGGCCAGUGGUCUCCUGCGGUUCUAGAGACUCAACUGAAAGCCAAGUUCUGCGUCCGAGAGGGUAGUACGCGUGGAUUCGGUGUUUCUUUUCAUCUGGUGAGCUCGUCCCUGAAGAGCGCGAGUAAACUCGCCCAGUCCUCCGCGGAAGGAGAGCGGGGAAGCGUUUCUCGCCUGAUGGGACCAGUGAUACCAGUGAUAAGAGUUAGGAGACCUGUGGAGCCCGAAAUUUGUCAAGACGCAGUCUGGGACGCUCCGGACUAAAUGCUACUGCGCAAAGCGCGGAAGUCCACUUCUCACUAUUUACCCAUUGUGAUAUUUCCAAGUCCACAGUCUCGCCUUACGCACACUUGUGGUUUGGAGCAGCCAAUUUUACAUGCAUUUUUACCGUUCAGAAUAAGCAACGCGGCAGGACCAGGGGAAACCUGAUUCUAACCUGU
rnacentral:lncRNA from 1 species